rnacentral:rRNA from 1 species
GACGUAGGGCGCGAGCGUUGUCCGGAUUUAUUGGGCGUAAAGGGCUCGUAGGCGGCCAACUAAGUCAGACGUGAAAUCCCUCGGCUUAACCGGGGAACUGCGUCUGAUACUGGGUGGCUUGAAUCCGGGAGAGGGAUGCGGAAUUCCAGGUGUAGCGGUGAAAUGCGUAGAUAUCUGGAGGAACACCGGCGGCGAAGGCGGCUGCCUGGACCGGCCCUGACGCUGAGGCGCGAAAGCUAGGGGAGCAAACAGG